UGCCCCGGGUUGAGGCAAUGCUGUCAUAAUCCAAUUUUGUAGGGAUUGGUGUAAAAACAUUAUUCUUGUGGAAUACAAUAGAUACAGCAUGACCUGUGAAACUGAUAUGCUGCACAAUCACGAUAGGAAUGAGAAGUACUACUAGGAUAUUAGUGCUGCUGUGAGCAGAGUGAAGGCAUGGGUGGUGAGAGUCAUAAUUCUGGACUGGCACUGGAACAGGACUGCUUUCCAUGAUGGCUGUCACAGCUGGUGCUGGCUACUGCCAUGCUGUGGAGGUGAGAAUGACAAUUCUUGACUUGCUGAACCCCAGGCAUUGUUGCCUAAUCUAUCAAAGUGCAUUGACAGUUCACCGUCAAUUAGAGGAAAGGGGAAAGGUGUUGUCUGUCUGAUCGAAUAGGUUUUCAAGCCCAUGGCAGAUGCUGCUCUCUGAACGGUGAAGAUAAAUGGCUUCUCCGACAAUUUCAAGAUCAUCAAUACACAAGUGACAGUUCGACCAAAUGGAGACAUGCAGACUCGAGCCAACGUCCUUGUCACAGAGCUGUUUGACACAGAACUGAUUGGAGAGGGAGCCUUAGCCAGCUAUGAAUAAGCUCAUUUGGCCCCCGAGUGGCUCAGCGGUCUAAGGCAUUGCAUCUCAGUGCUAGAGGCGUCCCUACAGACCCUGGUUCGAUUCCAGGCUGUAUCACAACCGGCCGUAAUUGGGGGAGUCCCAUACGGCGGCACACAAUUGGCCAGCGCUGUUAGGGUUUGCCCGGGGUAGGUCAUCAUUGUAAAUAAGAGUUGUUUUCUUAACUGACUUGCCUAGUUAAAUACAAUAACAUUUUAAAUUUGGUCCAGGUAAGUGUGUUUGUGUGUAAGAGGCAAAGAAAGAGGCAGAGGGCUGUGCCCACUAGUUCCACAGUGUUAUACCCAGCUGGUGGAGUCAGAGCAGUUGUGGAGCUAUUUUUACUUUGUCAUGCUCUUAUUUGUAUGUUUACAUGCCUAUUAUUAUGUGAAAUUAUUCCAACACAGCCACACAAUAAGUUUUAUCUGUCUGUAUCCAUCCAGGUGUUCAGUUUGGUAAACUGCAAUGUUGAAGCAGGUCUUUGAACAAGUGAGUGGAGUCAUGUAAAUAAAGCAUUAAUUUAGUUGAAAUAUAUUAGCAAACUCUCAAUGACUACAGGGUUGCUAGUUGCUAAGACGUGUAUAUCUGUAGGUGCUGGAUGCCAACUGCAUAAGGGGAGAAGCUUUUCGAGCUGAAAGACGAUGGCCAGAGUUUACCCAUGAUGUUGCACAACAAUUUAAGUCAAGUCAUCGUUUUAGUCAAAGUAUGAUAUAUUUGGGCAUGAAGUGACAAAUCCCAAGCUGCCCACUUUUUGCAAAUCUGUGUGAAUACGGUGUCUUUUCCUAUGUUGUGAUGUAGAAAUUAUUUUCAGCCUACGUUUCGUUUCAGGGCUGGGUUUUGUUUAAAUGUUACCACUCACCAGCAUGGCAUUGUUUAUUAAUCAGAACAAGCUACAAAGUUAUUCCUCUUUGUGAAUGAGAGGAGCUGAACAGCCUUCUUAUCACUUGCCGCCAUGGAGCAAAUUAAAAUGGUGGGGUGCAAACAUGUUUUUGCACCUUCACUUUCUUUACCAGAAAAUUAUCAUAAUCCAUUGUAUAAUUUGUACAUUUUCACUUAUUUUUUAGCUAGUCCGUGUAAAAUAUAGAUCUGAACCAUUUCAUAAAUGGUAUAAUUGCGUGAUAUGAUAGCACUUUCCAAACCCCCUCGCCCCAAGAUGAAUGGUUUUGACCACUAAAGUUUUGCAUCACUAAACGCCACACUGCUCAAAUCAAAUUUUAUUGGUCACAUACACAUAUUUAGCAGAUGCUAUUUCGGGUGUAAUGAACUGCUUGUGUUCCAAGGUCCAACAGUGCAGUAGUAUCUAACAAUUCACAAACAUACACACAAAUCUAAAAGUAAAGAAUGGAAUUAAGAAAUAUAUAAAUAUUAGGAAGAGAAAUGUCUGAGUGGCAUUGACUACAAUACAGAAUAUUCAUAUGAAAUUAGGAAAACAGUAUGUAAACAUGAUUAGUGUUACAUUUAAAGUGACCAGUGAUUUCAUUUCUAUGUAUAUAGGGCAGCAGCCUCUAAGGUGUUGGGUUGAGUAGCCGGCUAAUGAUGGCAAUUUAACAGUCUGAUGGCCUUGAGAUAGAAGCUGUUUUUCAGUCUCUCGGUCCCAGCUUUGAUGCACCUGUACAAACCUUGCCCUCUGGGUGAUAGCGGGGUGAACAGGCCAUGGCUCAGGUGGUUGAUAUCUUUGAUCUUUUUGGCCUUCCUGUGACAUCAGGUGCUGUAGAUGUCCUGGAGGGCAGGCAGUGUGCCCCCUAUGAUGCGUUUUGCAGUCCAUACCACCCUCUGGAGAGCCCUGCGGUGCAGUUGCCGUAACAGGCGGUGAUACAGCCCGACAGGAUGUUCUCCAUUAUACAUAAGUUUGUGAGGUUCUUAGGGGCCAAGCCACAUUUCUUCAGCUUACUGAGGUUGAAUAGGCGCUGUUGCGCCUUCACCACACUGUUUGUGUGGGUGGACCAUUUCAGAUUGUAAGAAAUGUGUACUCCGAGGAACUUGAAGCUUUUCACUUUUUGGAGGUGAUAUGAUUCUUAUCUAGCCUCUCAAAGCACUUCAUGAUGAAGUGAGUGUUACGGGGUGAUAGUCAUUUAGUUCAGUUACCUUUGUUCCUGUAUCGAAAAAAGCGAUGGUGGACACCUUGAAGCAAGUGGGGACAGCAGACUGGGAUAGGGAGAGAUUGAAUAUGUCCAUAAAUACUCCAGCCAGCUGGUCUGCACAUGCUCUGAGGGAUAGGGAUACCGAUAGGGAUACUCUGAGCAGAUAGGGAUACCGUCUGGACCGGCAGCCUUUCGAGGUUUAACACGAGAAUGUUGCCAUCUAUCACAGUUUUUGGUUCAGGUAGGUUUUAAUAGUCACAGUGGGAACAUCCCCUAUACACUUCCUGAUGAACUCAGUCACUGUGGCUGCAUUCCAAACACGUAAAAGACACACCCUCUCCCCUCAGCCCUCAAAUUAAGUGGACACUUCUGAUGACAUCUGAUGAGUUUACACUUGCAGGGCAAGGGGCGAGGGAAGAAUGAAUUCAUUUUAAAUGGCCAGCUCUUGCCCAGUAAUGUCACUCCUUCGUCCCACGGUUCUCCAUAUUAAUGUUGGUUUUAAGUUUUGGCUGACUUUUCUUAGCAGAUGUACAAUCAUCGGAAAUUGAAUUAUGGGGCGUUUCAGGCCCCAUGGUGAACAUAAUUGGACACUCGCAAACUCAAUCAAAAACGAGGGCUGAGGGGCUAACGUUGCCAACUUCCCUUGCUUGGCUAAUAAAAUCUAAUUUUAUUGGUGACAUGCACCGAAUACAAUAGGUUUAGACGUUACCGUGUAUUGCUUACUUACAAGCCCUUAACCAACGAUGCAGUUAAGAAAAAAAUAUUUAUUAAAUAAACUAAAGUAAAAAAUAAAAGAGCAACAAUAAAAUAAUGAGGCUAUAUACAGUGGGUAACGGGGAAUGAGUCAAUGUGCGGGGGGUACAGGUUAGUCAAGGUAAUUGAGGUAAUAUGUACAUAUAGGUAGGGGUAAAGUGACUGCAAAGAUAAUAAACAGCAAGCAGCAGCAGUGUAACAAUGGAUAUAGUCCGGGUAGCCAUUUGAUUAGCUGUUCAGGAGUCUUAUGGCUUGGAUCCACAGACGAUGCAAUCUCUAUUGCACUCAACACUUCCCUAAAUAGACCUUAGCACGGGUACUUCCAGUUUGAGUUUCUGCCUUUCGGAAGGGAGGAGAAGGUUU